CAUCCAUCCUGAGCGACCGAGAGACCUGGCUCCGCGACGUCGCAGCAACCGCCCCUGAUGGGGAAGGUGCUAACGCCAGGACCGAUGGAGG
rnacentral:ncRNA from 2 species